AGAGUUUGAUCCUGGCUCAGGAUAAACGCUGGCGGCGUGCCUUAGGCAUGCAAGUCGAAUGGUAUUUUGACCGCAAGGUUGAAGUGCAAUGGCGGACGGGUGAGUACAAGUAAGGUAUCUACCUUGAAGUGAAGGACAUCUCGUCGAAAGACGGGGUAAUCCUGCAUAGUCCCGCAAGGGUAAAGGGCGUAACUGCCCGCUUUAAGAGGAGCCUUACACUUAUCAGCUAGUUGGUAGGGUAAUGGCCUACCAAGGCUUUGACGAGUAGGGGGCGUGAGAGCGUGACCCCCCACAAUGGCACUGAGAUACGGGCCAUACACCUACGGGUGGCAGCAACCGGGAAUCGUCGGCAAUGAACGAAAGUCUGACCGCGCGACGCCGCGUGAGGGAUGAAGUCUUUCGGGAUGUAAACCUCUUUUGACCCGUCAUCACGACGGGUAGAAUAAGCGCCUACUAACUACGUGCCAGCAGUCGCGGUAAUACGUAGGGCGCAAGCGUUAUCCGAAUUUACUGGGCGUAAAGUGUCGCGUAGGCGGCGCUGUACAUCUUGUUUUAAAUGGCGAGGCUUAACCUCGUCAUGAACAAGAGAUGGCAGCGCUCGAGGAUUGGGGGAGUUUCUGGAACUUCUGGUGUAGCAGUGAAAUGCGUUGAUAUCAGAAGGAACACCGAGAGCGAAGGCAGGAAACUAACCAACACCUGACGCUGAGGCACGAUAGCUAGGGGAGCGAAGCAGAUUAGAGACCUGCGUAGUCCUGGCUGUAAACGCAUGAGUGCUAGUUGCCCCGGUUUAUACCGAGGUGACGUAAGGUAACCCGUUAAGCACUCCGCCUGGGGAGUACGGCCGCAAGGUUAAAACUCAAAGGAAUUGGCGGGGACCCGCACAACCAGUGGAGCAUGUGGUUUAAUUCGAGACGAAGCGAAAGACCUCACCAAGGUUUGACAUGCUAUCGUACAGCUUUCUGGAAACAGAGAGCAAUCCGCAAGGAUGAUAGCAAAGUUGCUGCAUGGCCGUCGUCAGCUCGUACCGUGAGGUGUUCCCUUAAGUGGGGUAACGAGCGCAACCCUCGUCGUUUGUUACAUUUUCAAACGAUACUGCCUCAGAGUUUUCUGGGGAGGAAGGUGAGGACGACGUCAGGUCAGCACGGCACUUAUGCCUUGGGCCACACACAUCCUACAAUGGCGAAGAACAACGAGUCGCAAACACGCGAGUGUAAGCAAAUCUCUGAAAUUUCGCCUCAGUUGGGAUUGGAGUCUGAAACCCGACUCCAUGAACUCGGAAUUGGUAGUAAUCGCGAAUCAGCAGGUCGCGGUGAAUACGUUCUCGGGUCUUGCACACACCGCCCGUCAAGCCAACAAAGUCGAGGGCGGCCAAUACCCCCGCAUCCGCGGGGAUGAAGCCGAACUCGGCGAUGGGGACUAAGUCGUAACAAGGUAACC
rnacentral:rRNA from 1 species